UUGACCUCGGAUCAGGUAGGAAUACCCGCUGAACUUAAGCAUAUCAAUAAGCGGAGGAAAAGAAACCAACAGGGAUUGCCCUAGUAACGGCGAGUGAAGCGGCAACAGCUCAAAUUUGAAAUCUGGCCUCGGCCCGAGUUGUAAUUUGCAGAGGAUGCUUCUGGCGCGGUGCCUUCCGAGUUCCCUGGAACGGGACGCCACAGAGGGUGAGAGCCCCGUAUGGUCGGACACCAAGCCUGUGUGAAGCUCCUUCGACGAGUCGAGUAGUUUGGGAAUGCUGCUCUAAAUGGGAGGUAAAUCUCUUCUAAAGCUAAAUACCGGCCAGAGACCGAUAGCGCACAAGUAGAGUGAUCGAAAGAUGAAAAGCACCUUGAAAAGGGGGUUAAAUAGUACGUGAAAUUGUUGAAAGGGAAGCACUUGUGACCAGACUUGGGCCGGGCGGCUCAUCAGGGGUUCUCCCCUGUGCACUCCGCCCGGCACAGGCCAGCAUCGGUUUUCGCGGGGGGACAAGACCGCCGGGAACGUAGCACCCUCCGGGGUGUGUUAUAGCCCGGCGGACGAUACCCCCGCGGGGACCGAGGUCCGCG
rnacentral:rRNA from 1 species